CCUACGGGAGGCUGCAGUCGAGAAUCAUUCACAAUGGUGGAAACCCUGAUGGUGCGACGCCGCGUGGGGGAAUGAAGGACUUCGGAUUGUAAACCUCUUUUAUGUGGGAGCAAAUUAAAAAGAGAGUACCACAAGAGGUAUACAUGGUUAACUCUGUGCCAGCAGCCGCGGUAAUACAGAGGUCGUAAGCGUGAGUCGGAAUCAGUGGGCGUAAGGGGUGCGUAGGCUGUUUCGUAAGUCGUGUGUGAAAGGCGAGGGCUCAACCCGCGGACGGCACAUGAUACUGCGAGACUAGAGUAGUGGAGGGGUAGGCGGAAUUCGUGGUGUAGCGGUGAAAUGCGUAGAUAUCGAGAGGAACACUGGUGGCGAAGGCGGGUUCCUGGACAUUAACUGACGCUGAGGCACGAAGGCCAGGGGAGCGAAAGGGAUUAGAUACCCCGGUAGUC
rnacentral:rRNA from 1 species